rnacentral:rRNA from 1 species
GGGCGUAAAGAGCUCGUAGGUGGUUCGUUACGUCGGACGUGAAAAUCUGGGGCUCAACCCCAGACCUGCAUUCGAUACGGGCGAACUAGAGUGUGGUAGGGGAGACUGGAAUUCCUGGUGUAGCGGUGGAAUGCGCAGAUAUCAGGAGGAACACCAAUGGCGAAGGCAGGUCUCUGGGCCAUUACUGACACUGAGGAGCGAAAGCGUGGGGAGCGAACAGGAUUAGAUACCCUGGUAGUCCACGCCGUAAACGGUGGGCACUAGUUGUGGGAACCUUCCACGGUUUCUGCGACGCAGCUAACGCAUUAAGUGCCCCGCCUGGGGAGUACGAUCGCAAGAUUAAAACUCAAAGGAAUUGACGGGGCCCCGCACAAGCAGCGGAGCAUGCGGCUUAAUUCGACGCAACGCGAAGAACCUUACCAAGGCUUGACAUAUACCGGAAUAUGGCAGAAAUGUCAUAGCUGUAAAAGGUCGGUAUACAGGUGGUGCAUGGUUGUCGUCAGCUCGUGUCGUGAGAUGUUGGGUUAAGUCCCGCAACGAGCGCAACCCUCGUUCUGUGUUGCCAGCAUUUAGUUGGGGACUCACAGGAGACUGCCGGGGUCAACUCGGAGGAAGGUAAU